UUUACUUUGAAAAAAUUAGAGUGUUCAAAGCAGGCAAUAUCGCCUGAAUAAUGGUGCAUGGAAUAAUGGACUGGGACCUCGGUUCUAUUUUGCUGGUUUUCGGGCUCGAGGUAAUGAUUAGAAAGGGACUGACAGGGGCAUUCGUAUUACGGUGUUGAAGGUGAAGUGUGGAUCGCCGUAAGACGAACUACUGCAGCAUUGCCAAGCAUGUUUUCAUUAGUCAGAACGAAUCAGAGUUCGAACGAUCAGAUACCGUCGUAGUUCUGACCAUAAACGAUGCCAACUAGCGAUCCGCGGAGUUCUUCAAUGACUCGGCAGGCAGCCCCGAAACCAAAGUUUUUUGGGUUCCGGGGAAAUAUGGUUGCAAAAGCUGAAACUUAAAAGGAAUUGGCGGAAGGGCACCACCAGGAGUGGAGCCUGCGGCUUAAUUUGAUCAACACAGGAAAACUCACCCGGCGGACACUGUAAGGAUUUGACAGAUUGAGAGGUGGUGCAUGGCCGUUCUUAGUUGGUGGAGCGAUUUGUCGUUAAUUCGAUAACGAACGGACUCUAGCCUGCUGAUAGUUCGCCGAUCCCCAUUUACGUCAGCGCAACUUCUCUGAAGGGACAAGUGGCGUUUAGCCACACGAGAUGAACAAUAACGGUCUGUGAUGCUAUAGAUGUUCGGGGCCGCACGCUACACUGAAGAAUGGCGUGUCUCUCUGCCCGCACUUGGAAAGGUCAGGUAACCGUUGAACCUCCCUUCGUGCUAGGGAUUGGGGCAUAAUUCUUCCCAUGAACAGGGAAUUCCCAGUAAGCGCGAGUCAUAAACUCGCGUUGAUUGCAUCCUGCCGCUGCACCACCGCCCGUCGCUACUACCGAUUAGGCGUUUUAAUUGACGCCUCAGUUGGACCCGGAAAUGGUUGGCAACAACCGUACCGGUGUGCCGAAAAGACGCGCAACGCCCUGAAGGUAAAAAGUCGUAAACAAGGUUUCCGUGGGUGAACCUGCGGAGGAUCAUU
rnacentral:rRNA from 1 species